rnacentral:lncRNA from 13 species
CUGGGUGCCCCGGAAGAAGGGCAGGCAGGAAAGGGAGUGGCAGUGAGGUCGGCCUCCUCACCCCACCUCACCCUGCUGCCCCCAGCCCGGCCCAAGACGCCAGGGCAUUUGCUGACACCUGAGGCCCUUCGAAGCCAGGAGGACACGGCCUCAUUCCUGGUGUGGCCACUGAGGACGGCGCUGAGAGCAGAAAGUCACGAGCAGGGCUGAGUGUGGGAUACGAGGAGACACGCCCAGAGAGGAGAGGUGAGCUCCCCGAACAGGGGGUGUGCAAGCGUGGAGUGGGCCUUGGGGGCGUGAUCGUCGGGGGAAUUUGGAGACAGGUCUCGGAACACAGCUAUUGAGGUGCUCUCAAUAGUGCAUUUGAAAUGCCCAGUGACAGCUUGUUUUGAGGUCCUGGUCUUUGAUGCAGAGCCUUCCUGGGCCACGGGGUAGGCUGGGUCCUCUCUCACAGCCACGCGUGGCCUCCAGGGAGGCUUUGACAACCUCAAGUUUGUAAUUACACGUGGUGGGGGCCCCGCUGCAGGCCCCAGUUAAGGCAGGGUUUUCGUGGCCUCUGGGCGAGGGUGGGCCUGGAGAGGGUGAAAAUGCUCCCGGUGAAUCCUGUGCAGGGACCACUCGGGGCGCUCCACGGCGGUGCUGACAGGUGGCUCUGCUAGCCCUCCCACCUCUGCCGCCCCCUCCCUUCUGCAUUUGGUCAGGACCUCAUGGUGGGGGGAUCCCAAGUGGCUAUGGGAGGGUGGGUGCGCUGCCGCCUGUCGGGAGCUGCUGGAGGAACUGCCCAGGCCUCCUCCUCCCUCCCGCAUCGCCCAGCACCCCCAGACAGCACCCUUGGUAGCUCUGGCCCCCAGGAAUUCCCGUCCCGAGUCUGAGGGGGCUUGUGUAGACCUCAGACGCCUGGCACCCAUAGCGUCACUUUAGCUGGAGGCCUAGGCAUGGCUCAGGUUGGGGUGCAGGUAUGAAUCUAGGGGUGGCAGCAAGAGUGAAGGUACCAGGUCCAGGGUCAGGAGGCCCCCGGGCUGUGCAAGUGGCCAGCUUGGCCUCUCCCGGGAAGAUGCUCUUGGCUAUAUCCAGCUCAUCCCUGGAAUUGUCUGUCUCCAUCCUUGGCCGCCCUGGAGCCUGUGAGCUGGGCCUGAAACACCACGCCCUCCUGGGGUGCCUCUUUGCCAGGUGGCCUCACUUGUCAUCUCAAAGUGGCAUCAAAACUCCCGUCUGGUGGACAGAAUCCCCGGGCCAGCCCUCCAGAGACCAGGUCAGACCACAGCCCCCCUCCCUGUGCCCCACCAGUGGGGGCAGGGAGCCAGUGGAAACCCAAUGCCCUUUGCUGACCACACCCAUCCACCCUGACACCCCCUCUUCAAGAAUAAGUGGCUUGAGGGGAAGCCACUGUGCAGGUUGCCGCCGGCUCUCACACACCCCUAGCCACCUGCUCUAG